AACGCACGAGACCUGCGGACCUGCGGAGGGAUCAUUAAUGAGAAGCUGCCCCACGUGGGUAGACCUCCCACCCUCUGUGAACUUACCUUUGUUGCUUUGGCAGGCCCGUCCUCUGGACCGCCGGCUUCGGCUGGCCCGUGCCUGCCAGAGGAUUCCAAACCCUGUCUGUCAGUGUUGUCUGAGUCUAUAUGAAAUCGUUAAAACUUUCAACAAUGGAUCUCUAGAUCGGAAGAGCACACG
rnacentral:misc_RNA from 1 species